rnacentral:rRNA from 1 species
GACGAACGCUGGCGGCGUGCCUAAUACAUGCAAGUAGAACGCUGAAGGAGGAGCUUGCUCUUCUGGAUGAGUUGCGAACGGGUGAGUAACGCGUAGGUAACCUGCCUGGUAGCGGGGGAUAACUAUUGGAAACGAUAGCUAAUACCGCAUAACAGUAGAUGUUGCAUGACAUUUGCUUAAAAGAUGCAAUUGCAUCACUACCAGAUGGACCUGCGUUGUAUUAGCUAGUUGGUGGGGUAACGGCUCACCAAGGCGACGAUACAUAGCCGACCUGAGAGGGUGAUCGGCCACACUGGGACUGAGACACGGCCCAGACUCCUACGGGAGGCAGCAGUAGGGAAUCUUCGGCAAUGGACGGAAGUCUGACCGAGCAACGCCGCGUGAGUGAAGAAGGGUUUCGGAUCGUAAAGCUCUGUUGUAAGAGAAGAACGAGUGUGAGAGUGGAAAGUUCACACUGUGACGGUAUCUUACCAGAAAGGGACGGCUAACUACGUG